rfam:TPA: Bos taurus chromosome 19, whole genome shotgun sequence.
UCCUUGGUGGUCCACUGGUUAGGACUCUGCACUCCCGAGGCAGGGGACACAGGUUCAAUCCUUGGUCAUGGAA